UGGGGAAUAUUGCACAAUGGGCGAAAGCCUGAUGCAGCGACGCCGCGUGCGGGAUGAAGGCCUUCGGGUUGUAAACCGCUUUUAAUUGGGAGCAAGCGAGAGUGAGUGUACCUUUUGAAUAAGCACCGGCUAACUACGUGCCAGCAGCCGCGGUAAUACGUAGGGUGCAAGCGUUAUCCGGAAUUAUUGGGCGUAAAGAGCUCGUAGGCGGUUUGUCACGCCUGGUGUGAAAGUCCAUCGCUUAACGGUGGAUCUGCGCCGGGUACGGGCAGGCUAGAGUGCAGUAGGGGAGAUUGGAAUUCCCGGUGUAACGGUGGAAUGUGUAGAUAUCGGGAAGAACACCAAUGGCGAAGGCAGAUCUCUGGGCUGUUACUGACGCUGAGGAGCGAAAAGCAUGGGGAGCGAACAGGAUUAGAUACCCUGGUAGUCCAUGCCGUAAAACGGUGGAUGCUAGAUGUGGGACCCUUCCACGGGUUCCGUGUCGGAGCUAAACGCGUUAAGCAUCCCGCCUGGGGAGUACGGCCGCAAGGCUAAAAACUCUAAAAGUGAAUUGAC
rnacentral:rRNA from 1 species